AAACGCUCCGAAAAACGCUCGUACCAAAGCCAUUCAUUGCCUGCUGACCGAAAAAUGCUAUAUCAAGUAAAUUUUAAUACGGAAGUUUAAAAAGUGAGUGAAACUUUGCACCGGGACUAAGUGCAGACGUAAGGACGGUGGGAUUUGUGGAAACCUGGCAGUGUUUGCGCGGAUUUCGAAGCUUACAAAGUGGAUAACAAACUCUCCCAGGCUUUACAUGUUUGUUUAAACGGUUUUAUCUAAAGCAGUAAAGAAAAGGAAAGUACGAAUGGAAUGAUUUGCACCUCUCGUCAUUCAAGGUUUGGAUUGUUACUGCUGAGAUGUAUAGUUCCUGAUUACUGCACAACUAAAUGAGAACUGGGAACAUCAGAGGUUGAAUCAGACGGGAUGCAUGUGUGAGUGAAUGCGUGUGCAUUUAUCUCUGAGGCUGUGUGUGGGUGAGUGUAUGUGU